UGAGAAUUUCUCCUGUGGCCAAUGCUAACCUAGAACCAUACACAGAAGGGAAUUCUAAUUCUAGCUCCAUGGAGAUGAAACUGUGUCAAACCACCACACAACAUGUUUUCAGUGCACUUAGUAUUGUUAGGUAUUCUACCAAACACUGUGUACACACACUAAUAAUUCAGUUAGAGAAUUAAUUUGCUAGUAAUUUUCUAGAAACAUGAAUUACCUAGGCCAGAGUUUGUUUCUUUCAGCCAGUGGCUGAAUUCCCUACAUAGUUAAAUUAUCUCAAGGGAGCCAGUGGCUGGGGUUGUAGCAACAUCCAGAAGGUUUGUAAGUGGUAGGAGAAGCUGACACGCUUCACUGUGGAGCGGCACGUGCAUCUGGCCCAGGUCCUGGAGAAGCUAAAGGAGGAGGAGAUACAGUGGGAGCUGGAGAAGCUGCAGAUCUACGCACUUCUCUACGCCAGCCAAAUGGGGCAGAGGUACCACUGUAUUCCUGGAGAUCCAAAUGAUAAAACUGCAGUGAGUUCUAAGGAGUUCUACCUAUAUGGUUGAUAUGUGGAAGAAUUGAUGUUCUGUGACCCACAUUUCUCUAGUAACAGAUGACAACCUAAAGGAAAAUGUCCAUUAGUGCUGAACGGUAGCAAGGAGAAUAAAUCUGCAUAACUCUGCCAAU